UUCCCCUAGCCAGGAGGAUCCCUACCCUCACUGAGCACUGGAUGAGACCUUCUCCCGGCCUCGGACAGUGAGAUUUGCACCCAGAUCUUCUGCCGUAGAAUCGAGUGUCCCGCCCAGGUGCAGUCAAAGAAGCUGGAAGCUCUACCCAUUCUUCAGACAAGAAGGUCCUGGCUACUGACCAAUUUGCUGCCAGCUGGAAAGAUGACAUCAACUUGAAUGAUCAGAACAGAUAGUUCUCAUUGAACAGAACAAUUUUCUUUCUAUUGAAGAAAAUUUAAUGGGACAUAAAAAAAAUUUAGUGGGACAACUAAUAUAGAACUUAAAACAAUCUACAAGAACAAAAGUACUUCUAUGAGAAUUCAACAACGUAUUUCUAAAGAUUAUCUGAGAAUAAAAAUUAUUUGACAGCCAGGGAUUUAGCUCAGUGAUUCUGCUGCCUGCCUCACAAGUGCAAGGUCCCAAGUUCAAUCCCCGGUACAAAAAUAAAACGAAACAAAACAAAAAUAAUUUGGCAAUUUAUAAAUAUUCCAAAUUGAAAAUCCAGUAGAUGAAGUCAAAAGUAGAAUAAAUAAUUCUGGGCCAUAGAGGAAGUCAUUUAGGAGA
rnacentral:lncRNA from 1 species